ACAGCAGGCAACCCAUUAGUGCAGGAAGGCAGACAACUAACAAACUAAACUAAUUUAGACAUAUUCUUUGCAAAAGAAACAACCGCUUGACUGAAAACUGACAUUCUUAUGAUGAGAAUUUCCAUAAACGUAUUAGUAGUAGGAAGAACCAUGUAAUUCAUGUGAAAUACAUCAUUUGAAACAUUAGCAAUACUUUACUGUUUCAGAGAUGAUGUUAGUAACUGUAUAAUACUGCAAUCAUGCUGGACAUGUCAAGAUCAAAAGCAAGAAAUAAUUAAUAUGUAGUAGGUUGAUCUUGUAGUUAGUCUGAGUAGGUGCAUAAUAUGUUCUACAAAUUUUGACCUACAGGAGAUAGGGAAGAUCCAACUGGAGAUGACUACAAAAUAGACUCCACAACUUCAAGAGCAUUGCCUAGGUGAAGUUCUGAUAAAGUCCUGGUGAGCUGGCACCUCAAAUUUAAAGGGCAAGAUGAAGAAAAGAUAACAUCUCAGCAAGGUGGCCCUUUGCCUAUCUACAAAUAACAUCACAGAUAAAGCCAAAAGAGAGGGAAAAAGACAUCGAUGCCUUCAUAGAAGGCACACUCUGAAGCAUCUGCAGAAUGGUAAUCAAGAGCAACAUGAAGAGAAUCGAGCAAAGCAGCCAUGAUCAGUGUGCAACACAGAAGUACAAUUUCAGUAGAGGCAGGAGAAACCACAGGCAAGACAGAAGAGGAAAUUACCGCCGACAGCGGCAUCACGAACCUCUUCGACAGGGCAGUUGCCUAACCUUAUCUCCCGCCUCCGAGCCUCUGCAUCAGACCAUAGAGGGAAGACAACAGUGUGGCCUGAAGGAACCCAACUUGAAGAAGCGAUAACAGACGGAACCAAUGAGGCAACAGAAGGGCAAUGGUAGAUCCACCCCGCCCGAGAGCAGGAACCGAAGGACCAGUACUCCGCCCGCGCACCAACGACGAAGCGCAAAGAGCCAGCAGCCAUCAAAGAAACAACAGAGCCAGCAGCCGGCAAAGGAACACCCACAGCCGUCGAAGACCAGUCACGGCCAACACCUACAGCAGGAGCAACAUAUUGCAAACCACGACCCUGGAGUGGAGG